UGGACAUGAUGAACCACUCUUAUAGAGAAUAACAAAUAAAAUGAAUAGUACUAUUUGGAAUGCAACUUGAACUCAAGUUUAACUUCAUAAUUGAUUUUGUGUGUGUGUGUGUGUGUGUGUGUGUGUGUGUGUGUGUGACUGGGUCUAU
rnacentral:sRNA from 1 species